AGAGUUUGAUCCUGGCUCAGAUUGAACGCUGGCGGCAUGCUUUACACAUGCAAGUCGGACGGCAGCACAGGGAAGCUUGCUUCUCGGGUGGCGAGUGGCGAACGGGUGAGUAACAUAUCGGAACGUACCGGGUAGCGGGGGAUAACUGAUCGAAAGAUCAGCUAAUACCGCAUACGUCUUGAGAGGGAAAGCAGGGGACCUUCGGGCCUUGCGCUAUCCGAGCGGCCGAUAUCUGAUUAGCUGGUUGGCGGGGUAAAGGCCCACCAAGGCGACGAUCAGUAGCGGGUCUGAGAGGAUGAUCCGCCACACUGGGACUGAGACACGGCCCAGACUCCUACGGGAGGCAGCAGUGGGGAAUUUUGGACAAUGGGCGCAAGCCUGAUCCAGCCAUGCCGCGUGUCUGAAGAAGGCCUUCGGGUUGUAAAGGACUUUUGUCAGGGAAGAAAAGGCCGUUGCCAAUAUCGGCGGCCGAUGACGGUACCUGAAGAAUAAGCACCGGCUAACUACGUGCCAGCAGCCGCGGUAAUACGUAGGGUGCGAGCGUUAAUCGGAAUUACUGGGCGUAAAGCGGGCGCAGACGGUUACUUAAGCAGGAUGUGAAAUCCCCGGGCUCAACCCGGGAACUGCGUUCUGAACUGGGUGACUCGAGUGUGUCAGAGGGAGGUGGAAUUCCACGUGUAGCAGUGAAAUGCGUAGAGAUGUGGGGGAAUACCGAUGGCGAAGGCAGCCUCCUGGGAUAACACUGACGUUCAUGUCCGAAAGCGUGGGUAGCAAACAGGAUUAGAUACCCUGGUAGUCCACGCCCUAAACGAUGUCAAUUAGCUGUUGGGCAACUUGAUUGCUUGGUAGCGUAGCUAACGCGUGAAAUUGACCGCCUGGGGAGUACGGUCGCAAGAUUAAAACUCAAAGGAAUUGACGGGGACCCGCACAAGCGGUGGAUGAUGUGGAUUAAUUCGAUGCAACGCGAAGAACCUUACCUGGUUUUGACAUGUGCGGAAUCCUCCGGAGACGGAGGAGUGCCUUCGGGAGCCGUAACACAGGUGCUGCAUGGCUGUCGUCAGCUCGUGUCGUGAGAUGUUGGGUUAAGUCCCGCAACGAGCGCAACCCUUGUCAUUAGUUGCCAUCAUUCGGUUGGGCACUCUAAUGAGACUGCCGGUGACAAGCCGGAGGAAGGUGGGGAUGACGUCAAGUCCUCAUGGCCCUUAUGACCAGGGCUUCACACGUCAUACAAUGGUCGGUACAGAGGGUAGCCAAGCCGCGAGGCGGAGCCAAUCUCACAAAACCGAUCGUAGUCCGGAUUGCACUCUGCAACUCGAGUGCAUGAAGUCGGAAUCGCUAGUAAUCGCAGGUCAGCAUACUGCGGUGAAUACGUUCCCGGGUCUUGUACACACCGCCCGUCACACCAUGGGAGUGGGGGAUACCAGAAGUAGGUAGGGUAACCGCAAGGAGUCCGCUUACCACGGUAUGCUUCAUGACUGGGGUGAAGUCGUAACAAGGUAGCCGUAGGGGAACCUGCGGCUG
rnacentral:rRNA from 1 species